UAUGUAACUGCUGCAUUACUCAUUUAACUGGAAGCGAUAAAAAGAAGAAAGGAGGAAUGUUAUUUUCCAGUAGCUGCUGCACUGGGUACAUAAGGACUACCCAUUUUUUUUCCUUUAUAGAACAGUCAGGAUAAAUUAAAUCUAAAACAAAUUAUGGAUAUGUAACAAUUGUUCAUCUAACUGGAACUAUAUAAAGGACUUACCGGAUAUUACAUCAUUUAACUGGAAGUUACAUAUCACAUAAGGGACUUAAUAGGCAGUACAUCUAAAAACUUAGUAUAGAGAUUUACACUUGUAUGGCUCUAGUUCAUGGUGUCACCAAAGGCUGGCCAAC
rnacentral:lncRNA from 1 species